rnacentral:tRNA from 1 species
GAGGUUAUAGCUCAAGUGGUAGAGCUCAUGCUUAGUGGCACAAGGUCCUGGGUUCAAUUCCCAGUACCUCCU